GUUUGGUUGUUUGGCAUUUGUUUUCGUCGCCAUUUCGCUUUUUUGCGUGGUCACCGUGUGCGCGUUGUGUGCGUCGUGAGCUGUAAGCAUGCGUGUGCGUUGUGAUCUGCUGUUGCGCGACAAGAGACAUUUUUGCCAAGAGCGUUGGGAGACGAAAAGCUGAAUGUGCCCGUCCGUCCACUGGCUGACGCGGAGGUAUGCCACCGACUGGCCUGCGUGGAAGCGUGCAUGAAGAAUGGAGCGCCGGCUGACCCGACGAAGCUGGCAAGAGAGUGAAGAGGCUACGAAAAAUCCUCAACAUCGAGAGCAAGCCAGAAGAACCAGUAAUUGCUUGCACACAGGUUGGCAUUGGUGGCCGGACGCUGAUUGAUAAGAACAUCCUCGAUCAGCUGAGCCAGGCCUGUGACUGUACCAGUGGCCGUGGAAAAUUCGUCAGGGCACUUUUGCACCACGUCUUUACUGAUGGUGGGCUCCACAGCAAGCCGCUGCUUGGGGGAAGAGCUGCCUACGUGGCGAGACGGUUCAAGAGGAGGCGCUCAACACUGUAUGCAUGGAGACCGAUAGGAUACACCUGCUCAGUUUCUGGGAGCCAGUGUUCCGUACAUCAAGAAGAGCCUAUCCUUGCUUCUUUCGUGAUAAAUAAAAUGAAGUAAGACCAUG